UACGGAGGGUGCAAGCGUUGUCCGGAAUCACUGGGCUUAAAGGGUGCGUAGGCUGCGCAGCAAGUUGGGUGUGAAAUCCCUCGGCUUAACCGAGGAACUGCGCCCAAAACUGCUGUGCUCGAGGGAGAUAGAGGUGAGCGGAACUUAGGGUGGAGCGGCGAAAUGCGUUGAUAUCCUAAGGAACACCGGUGGCGAAAGCGGCUCACUGGAUCUCUUCUGACGCUGAGGCACGAAAGCUAGGGUAGCGAACGGG
rnacentral:rRNA from 1 species